rnacentral:rRNA from 1 species
CCUACGGGUGGCAGCAGUGAGGAAUAUUGGUCAAUGGGCGAGAGCCUGAACCAGCCAAGUCGCGUGAGGGAGGACGGCCCUACGGGUUGUAAACCUCUUUUGCCGGGGGACAAACGGCGGCACGCGUGCCGUCCUGAGGGUACCCGGAGAAAAAGCAGCGGCUAACUCCGUGCAAGCAGCCGCGGUAAUACGGAGGAGGCGAGCGUUAUCCGGAUUUAUUGGUUGUAAAGGGAGUGUAGGCGGGAAAGAAAGUGAGAGGGUAAAACUCAGGGCUCAACCCGGAGGCUGGAUGUGAAACUGUUUUUCUUGAGUGCUGGAGAGGGAGUCGGAAUUACGGGUGUAGCGGUGAAAUGCGUAGAUAUACGGAGGAACCCCAGUGGCGAAGGCGGAUUGCUGGACAGUAACUGACGCUGAGGCGCGAAAGCGUGGUGAGCAAACAGGAUUAGAUACCCUUGUAGUC